rnacentral:lncRNA from 1 species
AAAGAUUCAGUUUUGAAAUAACAAUCAAAUCUUUGAGUGUUUUUCUGAUUUUAUUAGAAGCAUGAGUCGUUGUGUGUGUAUGCUUGUUCUUGAUUAAUGAGGUGAAAAGGUCCGAUUAUGACAAGAGAUUUUAGACUAGGAAUUUGCAGAUUGGGUUUAAAGAAAUUUAAGCUACUGUGAGUACUAAGUUUUGGAGGUUCUCUAUUUCUUGUUGCGGUCUAGUUCUUGCUGUGGUUUCAUAUGCAUAAAAAAAAUAAAGAAUUCAAGGAAUCGAAUGGACCUUAAAAGUUGGUGAGGUUGGAGAUGGUCCUGUGUGUGUAGGUUUCUUCUUUUAAUGCUCUGUUGGCUUUCUUUGUCUCCCUGCAGGAGUUCGAAAGAAAAUUUUAAAUAAGUUGUGGAAUUUACAGAAGGGAAUAAGAGCUGCAGAUGUGAAGAUUUACCACCUCAAUGAUUGGAAGAAGGCUGGUGGUUGGGGAGCAAAAAGGAGGAAAGGUUUUUAUGGGAGGGUGAAAGUUGACGUGGAGAUGUAAAAGCAUAGGAAUUGUUAUAUAAAAAUUAAUGUGAAUCGAGCCAUAAACGUGGCUUCCUUUGUUUCACAUAAUUCUAAUAUUAAGUGAUCAUUCUCUUGACCAUUCCAUUCCACACGUUCCAACACAAAAAAAAAAAAUCUGAGUUUCUACUUUGGGCCUAAGCCCAAAUAAAAUCUAAAGAAAGGCUUUCACUUAUGGACCUUUAGCCCAAUAAUAAAAAAAAUCUUUGAAAGAAAAGAAGAAAAAUAAUUAUGAGAUGGGUUUACACUAAAAUCAAAAUAAUUAGUAUAUCUCGUAUAAUUAAGUAAUAAUCACACUUGUUGAUCACCUCAAAAUAAUAUCAUUAAUCUACACUUUAUGAAAUUUAUUUAAUACUGGGCGUGUAUCAAUAUUAUGCUAAUUAAAGGUCCUAUUUCUUAAAAAAAACGGGAUAUCACAUACCUCCCCCCUUAAAAAAAAAUUUCGUCCCCGAAAUUUACAUACUCAUUUUCUAAUUUGGAAUACUAUGUCUUCAUUCUAUCAUUCCACUUCUGUGGCAUUUUCCAUCCUGUGAUGGUCCCACUUUCGUUCAUAGCUAGUGAUUCUUCGUAGCUUUAGCUAUUUUAGAACAACAUAUAUGUUCUAAAACAUCAAUCUCACUAUCAAAUAAUCUCAUAUCAUAAUACUAUAGAUCGUAUGCUAGACACGUAGUUAUACCUGUUAGAUUCUCAUCAUCUUGAGCUUCUUGACACUGGUUUAGGGCAUAAGCCCUAGCUUGGUAUGAUGGCCAUUGAUUGGCUAAGUUUCCCUGCUUCUGAUGUUGCUGGGUUUUUUCGCCGUUCUUCCUUGGGUGUGGGCAUGCCAUUGCAAAGUGCCCAAAUUGUCCGCAGUUGUAACAAACAUUGGACCCCUUCCUGCAUUCACCCGCAUGGGGUUUCUGACACUUCAGACAUAGGGGUUUUUCUCCAAUCAUAGAUUGUUGUUGUGGCUGGUUCUGAUUCCAGUUUUCUGUCCACGGUUUCUUCUCAUUUUCGAAAUCUUUCUCAUUCCAUUUCUGUUUUCCCUUUCCAUUAUUUGGAUAUGACGCGUGUUCAGACUGUGUAGGUGCUUUUUCUUUCUCUUUCGGUAGUAGUGACUCGAUGGUGAGAGCCCUACUUAGUGUUUGUGCAUAAGUGAGACCUCCCUGACUUGCUAGGGAAAUUGAGAUUUCGGGGCGUAACCCGUUUCUGAAUCUCUCUGCUCGUUUUUCGUCAGUGUCCACUAGUUGUGGAGCGUAUCUUGACAAUUGAUUAAAAGCUCGAUCAUACUCUGUGACUGUUCCGUUUCUUUGUUUCAAGUUCCAGAAUUCAUUUUGUUUCUUUUGGCGAUAGCAACCAGGUAUGUAUUUUUCAUAUAACUCUGCCUUAAAGUCGUCCCAAGUGAAAUUCUCCCAUUGCUCAUCGGUCAUAGUUCUUCUUACAGAUUCCCACCAAAAAUCGGCUUCAUCCACGAGUUGAUAGGUGGCGCAUAUUAUCUUUUCCUCAUCUUCACAGCGGAUGUAGUUAAAAAUUCGUUCUAUUGCUCUAAUCCACUUCUCGGCAUCCGUAGGGUCGCCUAAACCAUCAAAUGUAGGUGGCUUCUCCUUGCGGAAUCUUUCCACUGCUGAACGAUUUGGUGCUACUUGUGGUGCAGGCUGCUCCGGGGCAAUUCCUCGUCCUCGUCCUCGUCCACGUCCUCUUGUUGCCAUAUCCAACCUGUAGUUACAGGUUCAUUUGGUUAACAUGACUUAACAAUAUUGUAUGUGAAUCAAUCAUAAAACUAUGCGUGCUACAAGAAAGUAAAUUUGAACAACACGCAUAAAGUUUGAAUAAAUUAAUUAUAUAUAUGCCUCAAGAGAGGACUUCCAUAAUAUUCAAAAUAAUAGUGCAUCUCAAAAGAGUUCUUUUGGUUAAUACUAUUGAACAUCGCCAGAUGUGAACUAAUCAUAAUAACUUGGCGUGUUACGGAAAGAAAAUUUUGAAAAAAAAACACGCAUUAAAGUACGGACAAAAUAUUUAUGUAUCAUAUGCCUCAAAAGAGGACUUUCAUUAUACUCAAUAGGAUAGUGUGUCUCCAAGUGUUUAUUUGAAAUACAUAGGCACAAUAUAUAUGUAUAUAUAUAUCUAGGUAAGGUCUGAGUUAAAUGUAGAAGAAUCUGACCUUACAACCAAAAGGUUAGGUGAUUAUAUCAAGAGAAACGAUAUUCCAACCAAUUAUUACAACUACUAAUCUAAUAACACAGGCGAGCACUUGUUCUCUACUAACUUUUUUGUGAUAGCUUUCUCAAUUUCGUUCUUAGGACCUUCUUUCGAUGUCAAUGGCCUUAGCUUGAUGCUCUUGGUCAGCUGUAGAAAAUCGCCCAUCACUGAUCUUGUGCAUGUGUUGGUUGUCCCUGUUUUUCAUCAUUAAGGUGUCACACAAGUCCCAUCGAUGAUUCGGUAUCUAAUACUUUUCCAUUGCGUGCAUCCGUUUAAAGUGUCGUAAAUUCUCCAAAAGAAAAUUCCUUGAAGAAAUCAUCUGGCUUCUAGAUGUAGUUAUGAAACUUCUCGUCAUAAUGUUCUUGCAAGUACAUUGGAGUGCAAUGCUUAUAGAAUUCCUCGCAUUGUUUGUCCAUCUAGAAAGGAGGACCAAUUACAUUCUAAAAUAAAUAGCGCAAGGCUAAAUCUAACUAAGUUUCUUUCUUCUAUAGGCAUCAUAGGUUCUCUGCGAGCAUUCUAUGUUCUUUAAGAUCUUAUUCUUCAUCGUUCUAGAGUUCUCUAGACAUAAGUCUAGUUCAUAUGGAUCGAAAUUCUCUCAUAACUUUGGCUUAGUGCACCUCUAACUAUGAGGCAAAGCAUACUCUUAUAGGCUCGUAACUUUUGUCGGCUAUUGAGUCAACCUACUUAUAACUGUCAAGUCAAAAAGGUUAUGAAUAACCUAAGUUGACAAAUAUUGCUUAUGCCAUCUGAAACUUUCUCAACGAGAAGUUAAAAUUCAUAACAUAUCUUUAAUCAUAAGUGAUUCGUAGAAUCAAAACAUAAACAACAAAUCUUUUCUCUUUCAAUCAUGCUUAUGUGAGCUCAAGGAGACUCAUCAUAACACAUAAUGUUUUUCUUUUGAAAAUAGAUCAUGUGGACUCGGAGAGUCCCAUCAUGACUACAUACUUUGCUUCUUUUAAGGACUCGCUGGCCCAAAUAUCUUACUCUUCUUUCUUGCAUAAGCAAUAUCUCUUUUCAUAUGUGACAUCAUUAAAGCAUUUCACAAGAUAAUCUUUUGCGCGCACUUCUUCAAAUUAAAUCAUUUAUUUGAAAAUUUUAAAACGUACCUUUGUUGAUCAGGCAGUGAGACGGUGAGCUGAGGGUUACAUAAAUGCUUAGAAGUUUAGAGGUACUAUUCUAGACUCGGAAUAAUUCAACUAGCGGUAGUCAGAGACACGAAAGAAAACUUGUGCUCUGAUACCAUUUGUAACAGCCCGUUCUUAAAAAAAAUAAAAUAUAAUAAAUAAAAGAACUAUUUAGAAUAAAAGAGGUUAAUGAUAUAAAACAAGGUUGUAAUACGAGAAAGAUCCCAAUGAUUCAAAUAGGUUUAUUUCAUAGCUCCUUAGAAAAGAAAAUAGGAAAAUAAAGAGAAAACUUGACUGCACUGAAUAAACUGGCAACUUACCCUUUUAAAUGGGUUAUUCAUAAUUUGAAGAGAUAAAAUGAAAAGCAUUAAGUGAUGCCAAUCAAUUGAUAAUAUUAAAACUCACAGGACCACAUAAGUUUAGUUUCGUGACUCUGAACAUAAUCAACGAUGGCUUCAUUAAUAGAAAUACGAAUUAAGAGUCUAAGCUCAAUAAGAUAAUACUGCACCAUAUAAUAGAAGUUCUUAGUUUACGGAAUUGAAAGAUAAGAUAGCAAGCUAAUCGUUAGCGGAAGCAAAAGACGAAGCAGAACCCUAGCCUCAGCUCAACCCCAUCUGCACCAGCCGAUCAACCUGAAAACAUUUAAAAAUAUUUUGGGCUGAGCACUAGUGUACUCAGUGAACAAGAGUUUACAAGAUAUUUUAUGAAAUAAUUAAAUGGAGCAGUUUAUCCAAUAUCAUAAUCAUAACUCAGAAGGUUUUAAAAAUAGAAAUCCACUUCUAAGUAUGACAAAACUUUUUCUCAUUAAGUGGCGCGCCAUGUGACGUUUGAUUGUUACUCGCUGCUUAUGAUCCCGGACCUCUAGCCACCGACGGAUCGCUUUCUUUUCUCCCAUUUAUCAAUCUCGGGACGCACCCAGUCAGAUCAUAAUCAUAUCUGUGCUUCGGAACACAUCCAGACAAGCACCCUUAUAACGCCUCUUAGCUUUGUUAGUGCACGAUGGCGAUCAACCCAUCGAGCCACUAACCUUGUGUACACAAUCCUCAUCAACGUGUAGGCCAAAUGAGAAUCUCGAUCGAUGCUUAUGCGAGCAUUAAACAAUACAGAACGCACAUAAAAACAUUUAUAUUGGAUAAACAAAUAACUUUCAUGAAAUAUCAGAGCUUAUAUAACUCAAGAUACAUUUGUAAAAUAAAGCCCACCUCAAAAGUGGAGAUUCAAUACUUGCUUGCUAAGCUCCACUGCCCUUGAUCACUCGAACCUACAAGAAAUCUAUUCUUAAAUAGGUCUCGAGGUGCUAUUCUAACUUCUAGAUAAAGGAAUUAUUAACUAUUGAUACACUUGCCCAGAUUAAGGAAUAAACAUAAGUAAUCAAUAAGAAAAAUAAUAACAAAAUAAUGAUAAUAAUAAAAUAAUAAUAAUAAUAAUAUACAGAAAUAAAAAACUAAAUAUAAUAGAAAAUUAAUUAGUGUACAAGACUAGUCCAACAAUUAUUAGGAAUAGUUAGAUCUCUUGAAAAAUAAUUGAGCCAUAGCAUUCAAAUCAAAAUAACCCCCCUUCAAAAAUAAAUCAGCCCAAAGUCUCCAAAGAUUUUCGGCCCAACAGAUUUAAAACCCAUUUAGAGCCCAAUUUGAAAGAAAACCCUAAAAUAAUUAUAAAAAAAAAUUACAAUUAAAACAAGAAUGAGGAAUUUCUCUCUCUUCCUUCCAACUCAUCGGCUCUAAUCUCUCUCACUCUACACCCCCCCUCUCUCUCUCUCUCUCUCUCUCUCUCUUUCUCAAACGGCGCCUUCCUUCCUUCGUCGUCCCGUCUCCCAUCGCAGCAGGCGGUCAUGGAGGACCGCCGCCACUGUUGCUUCGUUCUCGGCUGUGAACGGCAGCGCUUGGCCUUCGGCCACGCCGCCCGGGAUCCUCUCUCCCCCUUCGCGAUUCCAGUCAGCAGCAGUAGCCCAGGAGGGCCGCUACCCCUGCUGCUUCGGCUCCUGUACCGCCUCGCACCACCGCCGUCGUUCAGUCCGUCCCGCCGUCGCUCAGCCACCGAUCGCUGCCGCCUUGUGCCGUCGUCUUCCCCGGUCGGACAUGCAGCCCCAAAAACGAAAAGGACUCUCCCCCCCUUCGACUCUCAACAACCCAAACCAAGAUAAGUAAAAAGAUUCAGUUUUGAAAUAACAAUCAAAUCUUUGAGUGUUUUUCUGAUUUUAUUAGAAGCAUGAGUCGUUGUGUGUGUAUGCUUGUUCUUGAUUAAUGAGGUGAAAAGGUCCGAUUAUGACAAGAGAUUUUAGACUAGGAAUUUGCAGAUUGGGUUUAAAGAAAUUUAAGCUACUGUGAGUACUAAGUUUUGGAGGUUCUCUAUUUCUUGUUGCGGUCUAGUUCUUGCUGUGGUUUCAUAUGCAUAAAAAAAAAAAAGAAUUCAAGGAAUCGAAUGGACCUUAAAAGUUGGUGAGGUUGGAGAUGGUCCUGUGUGUGUAGGUUUCUUCUUUUAAUGCUCUGUUGGCUUUCUUUGUCUCCCUGCAGGAGUUCGAAAGAAAAUUUUAAAUAAGUUGUGGAAUUUACAGAAGGGAAUAAGAGCUGCAGAUGUGAAGAUUUACCACCUCAAUGAUUGGAAGAAGGCUGGUGGUUGGGGAGCAAAAAGGAGGAAAGGUUUUUAUGGGAGGGUGAAAGUUGACGUGGAGAUGUAAAAGCAUAGGAAUUGUUAUAUAAAAAUUAAUGUGAAUCGAGCCAUAAACGUGGCUUCCUUUGUUUCACAUAAUUCUAAUAUUAAGUGAUCAUUCUCUUGACCAUUCCAUUCCACACGUUCCAACACAAAAAAAAAAAAUCUGAGUUUCUACUUUGGGCCUAAGCCCAAAUAAAAUCUAAAGAAAGGCUUUCACUUAUGGACCUUUAGCCCAAUAAUAAAAAAAAUCUUUGAAAGAAAAGAAGAAAAAUAAUUAUGAGAUGGGUUUACACUAAAAUCAAAAUAAUUAGUAUAUCUCGUAUAAUUAAGUAAUAAUCACACUUGUUGAUCACCUCAAAAUAAUAUCAUUAAUCUACACUUUAUGAAAUUUAUUUAAUACUGGGCGUGUAUCAAUAUUAUGCUAAUUAAAGGUCCUAUUUCUUAAAAAAAACGGG